CCCGCGUCUCGCCCCACUCCCACCCCAGCCGCCAAAGGAACCCUAGCCCUCUUUCUCUUUCCCCUCGAUCCCCACGAGCCGCCGCACCCCUCCUCGAUCCCCACCAUCCUCUUCUCGCCAGUAGCUGCCGGCCGACCUCGUCUCUCCACUCGCCUCCUCCUCUCCUCUAUCAUGUCGUCGUCGAUCCCACCGCCAGCCUUCUCCUCUGCUUGCCUCCUCCUGUCCUCUUCCAUGUCACCGUCGAUCCAGAUUGGACGUAGGUCGUCUUCGCGGUGCGGGUGAGGAUGUAGGGGAGGUGUAGGAUGCGGACGACAAGGGAAGGAGGAGGCCGGCGAGGAAGGCAAGCAACAGCGGGGAAGGAGAAGGUGAGCGAUCCUAGCAUGGGGAAGGGGCAGGGUGAGGCCUCGCGCACCUGCCGGCGGCCGGCAGGUCGACUUGUUGCGCCACCGCGUUGUCACCUCCUCUGCACCAUGAGAGGCGCCACCCAUGCUGCAGGCCUGCAACAUUUAUAGAGGAGGAUUGCAGGUGUCGAUACAAUGGAGCAAUUUCUGGCUUUGUAGUUGGAGCAUAGCCUCGAUUAUGCAUGAUUUUGGGGUUUUGCUCUCUCCCUGUGUGCUACACAUUUCUGCUCUCCCCAGUAGCAAUUGGAUGUUAAUCUGCUAUGGGCAGCGGCGGUGCAUCAAGGUGCAAGGCAGCAGCGACAUGUUCAUAGUAUGCUAAAGGGUGAACUCCUACUUUUUCUGAUGCUAGCUCAUUGCUGCAGCCUGCUUACAUCUCCCAAGAUAUCCUCUUGGUCAAGGCAAUUGCACAUGAUGAAGCCACUCAUUUUAGUGGUAUACCACACUCUGAGCAAUAGGACCAAAAACAGGAAGAUAAAUUUUCACAAUUCGAUACUUCAUAUUUUCCAGAAGUACGGCCACCUUCUGCACAGUGCCCUUGCAUUGGUGUUCUUAUCAAAUAAGUUUCUUUCCGUAGAAUUUGUUCAGGAUAUGCAUUGUGCUUAAACAUGAGUGCUUGCUCGCCGAACAUUGGCCCUCGGAUGAAUUCGGCGCUUGAAUCGAGCUGACGAGCCCCAUGGGGGUGAGAGGCGGAUAACAAUACGAGAAGGAGCAUGCCAUGGAGGAGUGCAAGCAGCGGCACUCCUCCGCAAUGGGGUAUGGCUGCAGGGGAGGGGACGCAGCCAACGACAGGAAGAAGAAGCAGGUCGUCGAGGACUACAAGCAGCAGGUUUCCUUUGACUGGAAGUCUGAAACUGAAGAUAGGGCAUAUUGUUUUGGUUCUGAGUGGCCGGAGAUAUUGUUGCUUGAUGUCCCUAGAGCACUCGGACCCUUCCAAGAUAGAAGAUCUUUGGGAUUGACGUUCUGAUGAGAAAGUAGCAUACGGAUGGAUUGACAUGAACUAUUCAGUGGUCGAACUGCGCUAUAUUUCUUUCAUUGAGGCGAGGGUGAUUCCAGUAGAUUUUGCUUGGCGUACUCGCCUUUUUUAUUGAAGUUGGGUGUCCGUCUUCUCUGCGGCAAGGAUCUAGGGAGUCAGAUUGCGGAUUACAUGUAGUGGGGAAGUAGAGAGGGGGACGAGGAAGAGGACACCGUCGGUGGCGUGCUAUAUCUCACUAGGCGACAAUGUUGAGAGGGUGCCUGGCAUCAAGAACCCGACAUGCUUUUCCGAGUGUUCGUUGAGAUCUAUGCUGUCGCGGCAACACAGGCCAAUACACAUUCAGGAAAUAUGUCACCAACUUCCCCAAGGUCCCGCAUCGUCUACUCAGGAUAUUCUGUGCCCCAAGCCCUACAGAAUAAUGCCCAGUCUAAUUUCAGCAGUGGGCAUGACAGCCUCAAACUUCUCUCUUCAAUAUUGAAGAAGCGGCUUACUCAGAUCAAUGGGCAUGCACUUAGAAAAAUAGCUAAAGAGUACGAGAUAUUCCUAGUGUAAAUAAAGGGCAUGCUGUGCUCAUAAGUUAGACAGAAGCAAAAUGUUAUUUAUUAUGCUCUUGUUGUAUCCUCUGUCAUUUUCUUCCACCUACCUUGAAUAUGUACUUUCCCACCGUCGUACAGAAACUGAUGUUAUUAUUUGUGCAUACUCUUUGUCUUAA